rnacentral:rRNA from 1 species
UCAGGCCUAACACAUGCAAGUCGAGCGGCAGCGGGAAAGUAGCUUGCUACUUUUGCAGGCGAGCGGCGGACGGGUGAGUAAUGCCUGGGAAAUUGCCCAGUCGAGGGGAAUAACAGUUGGAAACGACUGCUAAUACCGCAUACGCCCUACGGGGGACAGCAGGGGACCUUCGGGCCUUGCGCGAUUGGAUAUGCCCAGGUGGGAUUAGCUAGUUGGUGAGGUAAUGGCUCACCAAGGCGACGAUCCCUAGCUGGUCUGAGAGGAUGAUCAGCCACACUGGAACUGAGACACGGUCCAGACUCCUACGGGAGGCAGCAGUGGGGAAUAUUGCACAAUGGGGGAAACCCUGAUGCAGAAAGGCCGCGUGUGUGAAGAAGGCCUUCGGG